rnacentral:lncRNA from 1 species
AAAGGGCAGCUCAUUAGCACCAACUCCUCUGUCCCGGCUCCCCCACCUGAACUCUACGGCCCAGAGAUCAAGGGAAUUUUCCCACCCUGAAGUUAAAAGAAGCCAGAUUAAAUUGGAAAGAGCAAGCCGGGGCCAGCACCCUUUGCAAAAGCUGCUGUUGCCUUUCUCCCUGCAGGCAAGGAUGAAAGAGCUAGAUGGGCCUUUGAAGGGGACAGAUGAGAAGGCUGAGUCUACCUGCACGUCUGUCAGCUUCUCUUCUCCCUCCUGUUGGGCCGCCCAGAACAUGUUGGGACAGAUGUUGAACACAACUGCUAGCAACCUACGCUGGCAUGGCAAAUGUCGAAGAGCACUAGAAGCUGCAGUUCAGCAGAAUUUGCAAACUGACAUGGUCCAUUUUUGAAAGUCAGUUAUGAAACAAGAAAGGUGUACAUCUUAGAGGCUACACCCACCAAGGUUGCGUGGUGUGUGCACAGAACGGAACCGGGGAAUGCUGCAAUGUUAACAAUGAAGAUCUAAAUUUCUUCUUUGGACAUUUGCUAUUCAAAUAAACCCACCGUAUGUGAUCUAGUUCAUUAGACAGAUAGAUAUGCAUAGUUACUUUUAAUUACUAACCAAACCAUAGGCAUGAAAUGGCUGUAUAGUUUUCAAAUACCAGGCACACAUGGCUAAGAUUGAAAUUUGGGACCCAGAAGCUAAAUGCAGCUCUUCAGCCUGCCUUCCAAGCAAGCUAGAUACACACCUUUGAAUACAGGUUUUUUGGGGGGGGGCUACGUGGCUGUUGGGCUAUACUUUGUUGGGAUAGAGCAUGUUAGUAGAUCUACUUUAGGUCAAGGCCAUUCUCUACUUUUUGUUCAAACAUCCUCAGCCAUUUUAUAAUCAACAGCUUGUCGGGAAACGAAUAAGAAUACCUUAUCCAGUGGACCUGGAAAUAUUCACAUGAAGCCUACAUUAUAAGCAAGCAAGCAAGCAAGCAAACCAUUUAAAAAUAUUUAAGUAAAGAUACAUUUGAUUGGAUUUUUAAAAGUACAUUUUAAAACACUGUUUAAAGUAGCCCAAAGUCUAGAACAUAAAUAAGAUCUUGUCCAUACCCAUGCAUAUUUAUUGAAAAGUAAACUCCGCAUUGCACAAUACAAGCUUUCUAAAUCAAAAGUACACAAAGGUGAAGCUUUCUUCUUUCAGUAAGAAAUCUAACUUCAUAUCUGUCUGUGCAUGUACAUAUCCACAUGGAGAAAUUUGAUUCUUGCUCCGUUUUGCAAUUGCAAAAAGUGGACUGAUUCCAUGACAAAAAGUCUUUAUAGAUAGGUUGCACAAAGGCCUCUUUUACUUGCAAACUAAAAUAUUGUAUUUAUUAUAGUAAAUAGUGCAUAAUUUGUAGGCAUGCUUAUAAAGGAGGUGUAUGAAUUUCAAAUCAGGAAGCCAGAUCAGAUAAUUUCUUGAUAAAAUUAACCUUCCAUUAAGUAAUUCUGAAAAUAUGCUGCAUUUAAGAAACCUUUCUACCCCAGUACCUGGGCUAGAAUAGUUUCUUCAAUGAAACAAAUGCCCUCAAUUUUAUCUAGUAAGGAAUUAGCCUAUCGAAUAUUGUAGUUCAUCAAUUCCCAGUAUAGGCAGUUUCAGAACAAAUUAAAAUAAUUAUUUCCUGACAUUCCUAAAGAUAUGUACUUGAAAGAACAUUCGUUGUAUCCACUGGUAUGAAACAAACACUACCAAUGGAUUUAAUCAAUUCCCUGUAGUCUCAAAUUGCUGCAGAGAACAGAGGGGCAUUCAGAACAGAAGUGGGAACAUAUAGAAGAAGAAAAAAUAAGCCUAAAUCCCAUUGCAAAGGCAGAAAAUUUAACCCAAUGAAAGCAAAGGACGAGCUCUUUCCAUCUGUCAAUUUAUUGGUUCCUGCCAGUUUCCAAUAAUCUUCCCUGCUUUGACUCUGUACGCGAUGCAGCAAAGGCACAGAAUGCUGGACGAUGCCUGGGACCUGCAGAGAAAGGGGGGGGGGAGCCAAGUGACAGCUGGCAGAAGGUGGUCCCAACCAAACAUGCAUUAGAUGGAGGCUCACUGAAGCAUGGGAGUCACCUAGGACCAGGCAGCUGUUUCAUGCAAUCUAAAGCAACUGGCUAUGUACUGGAAGUUGGUUACUCAUUUCUUCAAGGCUGAUCUUUGGCUGUUUUUCUCAGAGGGUGUUUAGUAUCAGUGUACAGGCAAGGGUCUGGCAGUAACAUUCAAGACACUCAGUAUGAGAAGAUUUAGUUGUCAGCUUCCAGCAAGGAAAGGAUUACAUGGAUCAGACCCCAGUGGCGGUUCCUUCCCUUGCUUUGGUGGUGUAAUCUUAGGAAUCUCAACUAGCAGUUAAGAUGUAUAUUUGACAUAGAAACUUCGAAAGAGUAGCUAUGGGGAGGCAUCUUCCCCUUAUUUUGCAAGAAGCAGCAGAGGACGAUGAGGAGGUAGCGAAAGUCCCUCCUAUGAAAGCAUUUAGCACCACCUACUGUCCAAGUGUGCCACAGGCCAAACCGGAUUGGAGGAAGGCAGUAAGUUCUUCAUCCUCUGCCGUGAAACAUUCCCAGCACAGCACAACAUUGGAAGCCGAUUAAAAAAUGACGGGGAUUAAAAAAUUAUGGAUUGUAGUUCCAUAAUUACUGCUGCCUUGUCCAACGGAAGAAAUGGUGCCAGCUGUCUCAGAAGGCACAGACACAGCCCUAGUGCAAGUGGCAGCAGUCGGGUGGCAAAGAGACUCUUUGCGAAAUCUGGGUAGGGAUUCAGUCUUUGGUUCAUUGCUAGUACUUCUAAGAGUGCCCCAGUGGUAAAUCAGGAGGCAUAAAGGAAGCCCCAGAAUGGCCACAGGUGGUUUCCAGG